AGAGGUUUGUAUCUGGCUCAGGACGAACGCCGGGGGCGUGCCUAAUACAUGCAAGUCGAGCGGACAGAUGGGAGCUUGCUCCCGUGAUGUUAGCGGCGGACGGGUGAGUAACACGUGGGUAACCUGCCUGUAAGACUGGGAUAACUCCGGGAAACUCGGGGCUAAUACCAGGAUGGUUGUUUGAACCGCAUGGUUCAAACAUAAAAGGUGGCUUCGGCUACCACUUACAGAUGGACCCGCGGCGCAUUAGCUAGUUGGUGAGGUAACGGCUCACCAAGGCAACGAUGCGUAGCCGACCUGAGAGGGUGAUCGGCCACACUGGGACUGAGACACGGCCCAGACUCCUACGGGAGGCAGCAGUAGGGAAUCUUCCGCAAUGGACGAAAGUCUGACGGAGCAACGCCGCGUGAGUGAUGAAGGUUUUCGGAUCGUAAAGCUCUGUUGUUAGGGAAGAACAAGUACCGUUCGAAUAGGGCGGUACCUUGACGGUACCUAACCAGAAAGCCACGGCUAACUACGUGCCAGCAGCCGCGGUAAUACGUAGGUGGCAAGCGUUGUCCGGAAUUAUUGGGCGUAAAGGGCUCGCAGGCGGUUUCUUAAGUCUGAUGUGAAAGCCCCCGGCUCAACCGGGGAGCGCCACCGGAAACUGGGGAACUUGAGUGCAGCAGAGGAGAGUGGAAUUCCCCCUGUAGUGGUGAACUCGCCCAGAGAUGUGGACGGAACACCAGUGGCGAAGGCGACUCUCUGGUCCGUAACUGACGCGAGAGCGAGAAG
rnacentral:rRNA from 2 species